GAUCAUGGCUCAGGAUGAACGCUAGCUACAGGCUUAACACAUGCAAGUCGAGGGGAAACGACAUCGAAAGCUUGCUUUUGAUGGGCGUCGACCGGCGCACGGGUGAGUAACGCGUAUCCAACCUGCCCACCACUUGGGGAUAACCUUGCGAAAGUAAGACUAAUACCCAAUGAUAUCUCUAGAAGGCAUCUGAAAGAGAUUAAAAAAUUUAUCGGUGAUGGAUGGGGAUGCGU
rnacentral:rRNA from 1 species